rnacentral:rRNA from 1 species
GUCGAGGGGCAGCGGGAUUGAAGCUUGCUUCAAUUGCCGGCGACCGGCGCACGGGUGAGUAACGCGUAUCCAACCUUCCGUACACUCAGGGAUAGCCUUUCGAAAGAAAGAUUAAUACCUGAUGGUAUGAUGAGAUUGCAUGAUAGCAUCAUUAAAGAUUCAUCGGUGUACGAUGGGGAUGCGUUCCAUUAGGUAGUAGGCGGGGUAACGGCCCACCUAGCCUACGAUGGAUAGGGGUUCUGAGAGGAAGGUCCCCCACAUUGGAACUGAGACACGGUCCAAACUCCUACGGGAGGCAGCAGUGAGGAAUAUUGGUCAAUGGACGAGAGUCUGAACCAGCCAAGUAGCGUGAAGGAUGAAGGUCCUACGGAUUGUAAACUUCUUUUAUAAGGGAAUAAAACCUCCCACGUGUGGGAGCUUGUAUGUACCUUAUGAAUAAGCAUCGGCUAACUCCGUGCCAGCAGCCGCGGUAAUACGGAGGAUGCGAGCGUUAUCCGGAUUUAUUGGGUUUAAAGGGAGCGCAGACGGGUCGUUAAGUCAGCUGUGAAAGUUUGGGGCUCAACCUUAAAAUUGCAGCUGAUACUGGCGUCCUUGAGUGCGGUUGAGGUGUGCGGAAUUCGUGGUGUAGCGGUGAAAUGCUUAGAUAUCACGAAGAACUCCGAUUGCGAA